GGACCCGCACAAGCGGUGGAGCAUGUGGUUUAAUUCGAAGCAACGCGAAGAACCUUACCAGGUCUUGACAUCGAAUGACCGCUUUAAAGAUAAAGCUUUCCCUUCGGGGACAUUCAGACAGGUGGUGCAUGGUUGUCGUCAGCUCGUGUCGUGAGAUGUUGGGUUAAGUCCCGCAACGAGCGCAACCCUUAUUGUUAGUUGCCAUCAUUAAGUUGGGCCCUCUAGCGAGACUGCCGCAGGCAAUGCGGAGGAAGGUGGGGAUGACGUCAAAUCAUCAUGCCCCUUAUGACCUGGGCUACACACGUGCUACAAUGGGAAGUACAACGAGCAGCGAACUCGCAAGAGCAAGCGAAUCUCUAAAAACUUCUCUCAGUUCGGAUUGUAGGCUGCAACUCGCCUACAUGAAGCCGGAAUCGCUAGUAAUCGCGGAUCAGCACGCCG
rnacentral:rRNA from 1 species